rnacentral:rRNA from 1 species
UGGGGAAUAUUGCACAAUGGGCGCAAGCCUGAUGCAGCCAUGCCGCGUGUGUGAAGAAGGCCUUCGGGUUGUAAAGCACUUUCAGCGGGGAGGAAGGCGGUGAGGUUAAUAACCUCACCGAUUGACGUUACCCGCAGAAGAAGCACCGGCUAACUCCGUGCCAGCAGCCGCGGUAAUACGGAGGGUGCAAGCGUUAAUCGGAAUUACUGGGCGUAAAGCGCACGCAGGCGGUCUGUCAAGUCGGAUGUGAAAUCCCCGGGCUCAACCUGGGAACUGCAUUCGAAACUGGCAGGCUAGAGUCUUGUAGAGGGGGGUAGAAUUCCAGGUGUAGCGGGGAAAUGCGUAGAGAUCUGGAGGAAUACCGGUGGCGAAGGCGGCCCCCUGGACAAAGACUGACGCUCAGGUGCGAAAGCGUGGGGAGCAAACAGG